AACGAACGCUGGCGGCAUGCCUAACACAUGCAAGUCGAACGAGACCUUCGGGUCUAGUGGCGCACGGGUGCGUAACGCGUGGGAACCUGCACUUAGGUUCGGAAUAACUACCCGAAAGGGGUGCUAAUACCGGAUAAUGUCUUCGGACCAAAGAUUUAUCGCCUUUGGAUGGGCCCGCGUUGGAUUAGCUAGUUGGUAUGGUAAAAGCCUACCAAGGCGACGAUCCAUAGCUGGUCUGAGAGGAUGAUCAGCCACACUGGGACUGAGACACGGCCCAGACUCCUACGGGAAGCAGCAGUGGGGAAUAUUGGACAAUGGGCGAAAGCCUGAUCCAGCAAUGCCGCGUGAGUGAUGAAGGCCUUAGGGUUGUAAAGCUCUUUUACCCGGGAUGAUAAUGACAGUACCGAGAGAAUAAGCUCCGGCUAACUCCGUG
rnacentral:rRNA from 1 species